UAUCACCUUUACUGACAUACAAGGGGUGUAGGUUAUCUCAUUUAUCACAUUUACCGACAUACAAGGGGUGUAGGUUAUCUCAUUUAUCACAUUUAUUGACAUACAAGGGGUGUAGGUUAUCUCAUUUAUCACAUUUACUGACAUACAAGGGGUGUAGGUUAUCUCAUUUAUCACCUUUACUGACAUACAAGGGGUGUAGGUUAUCUCAUUUAUCACAUUUACUGACAUACAAGGGUGUAGGUUAUCUCAUUUAUCACAUUUACUGACAUACAAGGGUGUAGGUUACCUCAUUUAUCACAUUUACUGACAUACAAGGGUGUAGGUUAUCUCAUUUAUCACAUUUACUGACAUACAAGGGUGUAGGUUAUCUCAUUUAUCACAUUUACUGACAUACAAGGGGUGUAGGUUAUCUCAUUUAUCACAUUUACUGACAUACAAGGGGUGUAGGUUAUCUCAUUUAUCACAUUUACUGACAUACAAGGGGUGUAGGUUAUCUCAUUUAUCACAUUUACUGACAUACAAGGGGUGUAGGUUAUCUCAUUUAUCACAUUUACCAACAUACAAGGGGUGUAGGUUAUCUCAUUUAUCACAUUUACCAACAUACAAGGGGUGUAGGUUAUCUCAUUUAUCACAUUUACCAACAUACAAGGGGUGUAGGUUAUCUCAUUUAUCACAUUUACCAACAUACAAGGGGUGUAGGUUAUCUCAUUUAUCACAUUUACCAACAUACAAGGGGUGUAGGUUAUCUCAUUUAUCACAUUUACCAACAUACAAGGGGUGCAGGUUACAUCAUUUAUCAUAUAUACCGACGUACAAGGGGAGCAUGUUAUCUCCUUUAUCACAUUUACCGACAUACCUCAUUUACCUCAUUUACUAACAUACAAAGGGUGCAGGAAGAAACUUUCAUAUUUCAAGCAAUUUUCAAAUUCAAAACAUACGUCAACAUUUAUUUUUAAAAAGAUAAAAAAACAAACUCAGGUGGGACAUAUCGCAAUAGGCAGUCAACAAAGACACGGUACCAUGUCGCAAUUCAUCCACCCUUUGUUUGUAAACAACUCCCGCGCAGGCGCAAAUUGGAUAGGAUGUCUUAGGAUACGUAGAUGGCUGAUGACACCACACCGAGUAGGACACAUAGCAAUGAUAAGUUCAGGUUCAAUAAAGACAUAGGCAAGAAUUGGUUUACCAACAGUGAUGGAUGAGUGGAACAGACGUAGAAGUCAUGUGAGG